rnacentral:lncRNA from 1 species
UGAGCUGAGCUGUGCCUAACAGGUGUGCUGUGAGGCUGAGCAGAGAAGCGGUAGGAGCCUGGGUGUGGAGAGGGAAGCAGCGUAUGCAACUCAGUCAUAGAAUGGUUUGAGUUGGAAGGAACCUUUAAAGGCCAUGUAGUCCAUCUGCCCUGCAAUGGCAGUACAGCCGGAUCCCUUCCCCUCAGUGCAGCCUUGACGUGCGUACUACUUUGUAGCUCACUGAGCUCAUCUAGCAGCAGUAGGCUUCAGUACAAACACGUAUACAGAAAACACAGUGCAUAUUAGCCAUUUUUUGGCCAGGCACCAUCCUGGUGGUGCAUUUUUUUUGUGCAUGGGUAUUUUGGGCUUUAUUUCGAAGGUGAACAUAACCUCAAUUCCAUCCUCACACCUUUUCACGCUAGUCCAAUUGCUGCUUGCAAUGAAAAGCAGCUUUCCUUCAGUGUCAGCUGAACUCACAAAACGUAAGGAGGAUCCCUUCAGGGUUGCAGUAGAGGAAAAGCUGCUACAAACAAUUGUUGUGUGAGCCCAAGAUGAAGCCCGCUCGCCGCAGGGGGAAGCUGACGUCUCGUUACCGGGGCGCUGGGAGCCCUCGAGCCGUCUCGUCUUCCUGCUCCGAGCGGACUGAGGCGUCUUUGGGAGCUAUGCAAAGCAGCAGGGCGAUACUCGCAGCCCUAUCAGCGGCUAUCGGUUGGAUCUGCUGUUUGCUCCAGACUCCACCUUUGCUUGGAAAGAGCUUGCGAUGCCAUGAGACAUGAAGUGGCCUCGUUGGCCUGCAUCUUUAAACUCGAGGAGGUGCUCAGAGUUGACAGCAGGUGAAGCGGCAUUGGCCUGGGGAGCCGAGCCCACGAGGGCAUGGUGGGACAGCGGGCUCUGGAGCACGGCACCUGAGAGCUUGGAGUGACUGCACACAGCUGAACACCUCUCCAUCUCCUCCCGACAUCCCGGCUCAGGUGGGUGUAAGCGAGUGGAGAAAUAUAGAGGUUGUGUGUUUCUAGGUACGCGCCGAUAGUAUUUAUGCAUUGGAAAACUCCCUGAUGGCGAGACAAGCGGCAGCAUCUGAGAAGCACAUAGGCCUAAUUGAUUCCAGACCCAACCGGCCUGGAUUUUGUUUCCUCUUAUUCCAACUUUCUGACCUUGUAAAAAUUAUCUUGAUUGUGUUAUACUAAAACAAGGCCGUGAUCUUGCAAAAACUACCAUGUGUGUGACUGCCGGGCGGCACCGAGUGGAGCGCUGCGGAUGGAACCGAUGCGGACAGCGCUCAGCCCCAGGUUCACUUGUUUGUUUUGCUUUGCCAUAUCUGAUCCUGGUGAAGCAAUCGCCUCGCUUCUGCUGAGCACAGAAUCUGGGAUUUCGUUUUUAAAAGAGGUAAGAAUGUGUAGUAAAACGUAUGAGGUAAGGGAUACGUUUUGAAUCCUCACAGAAGUUUCAGCUCUUGGAGUUUUAUGGCAUUUCGACUUGGAGAGAUAACAGCAAGGAUUUAAAAUAAAUACUUACUGCCUGUAAGUUUUACACUACUUUUUUUUUUUUCUUUUUCCUUGUGUACUGGAGGUCUGUGUGUUUCAAAGAAUUGUUUCUAAGGCUUGGUAUGAAAGUUUAAGGACUUACUGCCUUUGAUGGUAACUUUUAUGAUGCCGUUGUGCCUUUGCAUGAAAAAGUAAUAAAAAAGAAGACCUAGGGCAGUAUAAAGCAUUUGACGUGUGGCUGUCUUUGGUGCUGGAGAAAUUCUGAGUGUAACUGUUUUCUGCCUGACAGUGACCCAAGGCCCACCUACACUGAUCCUUUUCUUGUUCUAACUGCUUCUCCUUGCUCUGGGAAAUCUGCAGCCUGCUGGCCUUAAACCCCUGUAAAGACUUGUAAAAGAAAAAUCCUUUCAAGCAUUUUGUAAUAAUUAUGAUUCCUUUCUUUAUUUCUCUGAAGGCUCCCCCCCCCCCCCCCCUUUUUUUUUUCUUCCUUUCUCAAGAUCAAGAAUAAGCUAUGUAUUUGUGCCUUCAUCAGGAAGCCUCUCAUGGGCGAUCCCUGUAAGCACUGGGAUUGCCUGUCUGAUAGCAGGAGGCUUAUGAACAGCAGCUCCAGGUGGAAGCAGGCCUUCUGCUCCUCCCUCUGCUCUGCUGCAAUCCCCAUUCAUUGCAGCCCCAAGAACUGAGACCGAGCUGCAAGUGUGAGAAAGCCAUGGCCACCUGGCUGGGAUACCACAUUUGCCUUUACCUGAGCUCAUAGAAUGAAUGACAGAACGGCCUGGGUUGAAAAAGACCACAAUGAUCAUCAAGUUUCAACCCCCCUGCUAUGUGCAGGGUCACCAACCACCAGACCAGGCUGUCCAGAGCCACAUCCAGCCUGGCCUUGAAUGCCUCCAGGGAUGGGGCAUCCACAGCCUCCUUGGGCAACCUGUUCCAGUGUGUCACCACCCUCUGUGUGAAAAACUUCCUCCUAAUAUCUGACCUAAACAUCCCCUGUCUCAGUUUAAAACUGUUCCCCCUUGUCCUAUCACUGUCCACCCUUGUAAACAGCCGUUCCCUCUCCUGUUUAUAUGCUCCCUUCAAGUACUGGAAGACCUCAAAGAGAUCUCCCCAGAGAUUUCUCUUCUCCAAGCUCACUAACAUACAGGUGUUGCAGGGAAUUUUCUUGUAUAUAACACAGCACAUCAAAUGAUCUUGAACGUACAAAACAAAUGUAACAAAAAAUUAAGCCUAUCUCUAGCAGCUUCUCUGUGUCAUUAAAGCUGGUUUCUAGGAAGUUGGUGCGAAUACAGAUGGCAUCUUGUUUGAACUUUUUAUCUUCCUUGUAAACAUUUGUUUUCCUACAGACCUCAUGGUGGAAGUAGAGAGUGGUAGAUUAUGUAUCAAAUACAAAAAAAAAAAACCAAAAACGGAGAGGAUGUGCAGUGUCCUGGCUCAGAAUUUCUGCUGGUAACUUCCUACGCUAAAGAUGUAACAACGAUUAGUAGUGCUGAUGUUGUAUCUUGUUGCCUCUAUCUUCCAGCCACUACUUUUCUAAUAAGUUGUAUGAGAACUUCAAGUAAAA